rnacentral:ncRNA from 1 species
GAAAACUGGCCUGUGGCGGACAAGCCUUCCUAGCGACAUCGCUUUUUGAUCCUUUGAUUUCAGCUCUUCCUGUCACUGUGAAGCAGAAUUCACCUGGAGUUGGAUUGUUCACCCACUAAUAGGGAACUUGAGCUGGGAUUAGACUGUCAUGAGACACGUU